GUCGCAGACUUCACGGAGAUAGCGAGGCCUAGUUUCACGAUCGGCGCCAUCACGAUCGGGUCGAUUUUGGGGUCGUGACACCAUCAUUCCAUCUUCAUCAACUAAUAGAGUCUCAUCACAAAAUGGCAUUCCAACUCUAUCAACUAAUAGAGUCUCGUCACAGAAUGGCAUUCCAGCUUCAUCAACUAAUAGAGUCUCAUCACACAAUGUCAUUCCAUCUUCAUCAACAAAUAUUGUCUCGUCACAUAAUGGCAUUCCAGCUUCAUCAACUAAUAGAGUCUCGUCACAGAAUGUCAUUCCAUCUUCAUCAACUAAUAGAGUCUCUUAACAACCAACUACACGUAGACAAGUUAUAGAUGACUCAGAGCCUCGUGAUUGGGUUGUCGAUGUUAUAGAUGAACGUCAAGUGAUAAAAUCUAUUAGGUUGAAGGUUCAGGAUGUCCAUAUCUUGGAGAAUGGAUCGUGUAUAAUUGUAGAAUUUGAUGAGUUUGAUCAACCUAUUGGAAAAUCAACCGGCCUUCUUGCAGUAUUUUUGGGGCAGCUUGCUACAAAUCCUCGAUAGUUUCCUAUUUGCUUCGAGAGUUGGGCAUCCAUGCCUAAACCUUUUGUGAACCGUGCUUUUAAUGAUUUCGUAAUGUCUCGGUUUUUCUUUACAAGUGAUCCGCAAAAGGUAAAAGGUUGGAUUAACAAUUCGCUUACUAAAAAGUGGAAGGAAUUCAGGCUUAAACUAUGGCAUGAGGCUCAGGAUCCAUUAUUGAGCAAAGAAAAUAUCAUCAAGAAUGCUCCAGAAGGCAUUCCCAUGGACCACUGGGCAUUGUAUGUUAACUAUCAUUCAGAAGAGGAAACAAAGGCGCUUUGAUUGAGAAAUCAACGGAUUCGAGGACAACAAACAGUUCCCCAUACUAGUGGUGCUACGAGUUUGGCUAGAAGAAGGGCUUUGAUGAAGAAACAGGGAAAAGAAGUUGAUCGCGGAAAAGUGUGGCCUGAGACUCAUAAGAGGAAAGAUGGGAGUUAUGUGAAUGAUCAAGCUAGGGAGAUUGGGGAAAGAAUUGAAGAAAUUCGAAGACAAAGACCAGAAACUCUGGCAUAAAUUUCACCAAAUGACGCGCUUGGUGUAGUUUUCGAUCCCAAGCACUCUGGCCGUGUUCGAGGCUUGGGCAUGGCGGCAAUUCCAACUGUAGUAUUCAAGCACACAUCAAGACUAGGUGGUUGUUCUUAUAUGGGUGCAACUAGCACUAGUGCUCCACCUCCACAAUGGGUGCAAGCGAUGGCAAAUAUGAGAUCACAACAAGCUUAUUUCAAAUGAAAAUAGGAAAUAUCCCCAAGGAGUUUGCUCACUUAUUUCCGACUCCUUCACAGGCACCCAAUCUAGGAGAUGGCCUAGAAGAUCCUUUGACGGAAGUAACUGUGAUGACCCAAAAGGUCAUCACUUGUUUUGAAUGUAAAUUCUCUGUCCUGAGGCCUUAAAACCUUCCUUUUAUCUCACCUCGAUUCGCGUGCGCAGUCCGGACGUGUAUCCGAAAAGUCAUUAUGUGAAAAUCUGUGAAAAAUAAUAAAUUAUGCUUUUAAAAUGAAUUAGUAGACUUCGGUCAACAUUUGGGGUAAAUGGACCCAGACCCAUGAUUUGACAGUCCCGGAGGGUCCGUAGGAAAAUAUGGGACUUGGGCGUAUGCCCAGAAUUGAAUUCCGAGGUCC